CUUAUUAUUCACCAAAAUCGCUUAAUAUCGUGUCCUUUGUGUGUUAGCUGCAAAUUCGUAGCCAUUAGCGCUAACGUUACCCACUUUGUCUGUAGCUAGCCUUGCUGCUAGUAGCACUGCAGGAGCAGUGAGGAAGAAUCGCAGGUUGAUGCCUAACUUUAACGUUAGUCCAUUGGGCUAGUUUUUGCCCUGGUCCUCUGACAUCCAUCCGUGAACGGCACUGCUAUUCACCGUCUCCUCGAAAAUAUUUCUCAGGACAGCUACUAGCCUCUGUGAGAGAUCUGCCGCUGCCGCGACCAAGGAACUGCUGCUGACCUGCGAGCUGCCGUGAUAGCAGCCUGCCCUGCAGUCUGGAUUGAGUAGCCUAGCUAACGUCGAAGAACUCUCACGAAACAACAAACUGUCGCUGUCAAAGUCCACCGACCUGCUGAUCUGCAGGAUCGCCCAACUGUUCUGUGCUUUCAGUGCUCCCCAGACUGCCAGUAAUCUUCCUCCGACACAGCUGAGCGCCGUCGUCAUCAUCAUCGGGACAUCAGCCGGUUAGAUGCAACGGACUAUGUUAACAUGACAUUUUCUUUCAGUGCGUUUAGCGGAGUUUGUUUAUCAAAAUAAGCCUUAUAUUUUACAUAUUGGUUUGUGUUAUGUUGUAGGCCUAGGCCUAAGCUUAGGCUAGCGGACACAGUGUUCUCUUUUGCCUUUUUAAAAUAAAAAACUAUUUUGAAAAUUA